CCUCUUGUUCUAUCGAGUCGAUCAUGUUGAGGAGCUGUGUGCUUCGAUCCAUCUUAUCUGAAACAAUUGGAGAAGAGAAAAAUUGUUUUGCCGAGAGGAGAGAGAUUGUUUCUCUUUUCCAAUCAGCAGUGCUCACCAAAAGGGGUGGAGAGUUAUAAUGAGUUUAGUUUUUAUAAUAGAUUGCCAAUAAUCAAGGUCAUUUCUAGUGAUUAAAUAUUUACAUUAUCAAUAUUGUAUGCAUUAAUGAACUUGCAUAUUUUUGAAUUUUAUGUUCCGAAUUUUGAUUAAUCUUGCCAAU
rnacentral:lncRNA from 1 species